AAGAUUCUAGUAAAAACAUUACGCUGCUUUGUCAAGGCAGAGUUUCAGGUUAGAGCCCUGAGUCUCUUA
rnacentral:tRNA from 2 species